AGCGAACGCUGGCGGCAGGCCUAACACAUGCAAGUCGAACGAAGCCUUCGGGCUUAGUGGCGGACGGGUGAGUAACACGUGGGAACGUACCUUUUGGUUCGGAACAACUCAGGGAAACUUGAGCUAAUACCGGAUGAGCCCUUAGGGGGAAAGAUUUAUCGCCGAAAGAGCGGCCCGCGUUAGAUUAGCUAGAUGGUGAGGUAAAGGCUCACCAAGGCAACGAUCUAUAGCUGGUCUGAGAGGAUGAUCAGCCACACUGGGACUGAGACACGGCCCAGACUCCUACGGGAGGCAGCAGUGGGGGAUCUUGCGCAAUGGGCGAAAGCCUGACGCAGCCAUGCCGCGUGAAUGAUGAAGGUCUUAGGAUUGUAAAAUUCUUUUACCAGGGACGAUAAUGACGGUACCUGGAGAAAAAGCCCCGGCUAACUUCGUGCCAGCAGCCGCCGUAACAC
rnacentral:rRNA from 1 species